CUGAGCCUUGAGACUCUUUGUCAGAAUCACACUUGUUAAUCAAACAAGUGUUUCUAGGCCACACAUGGUUCCCCUCAUGGAGCACCUCAUUAGUCUGCUUUCUGCUGCUAUGACAAAAUACCUGAGGAUGGAUACUUUGCAAAGAAAAAAAGGGUUAUUAACUCAUAGUUCUGGAGGUUCAAGAGCAUGGUGGUCGUGGCUUUGUGGGGGGCUUCUUGUCUUCAUCACAACACGGGUGUCAUCAUGCUGGGAGUGUGCAUGAGGGAGAGACCACAUCACAUGAAAAGACAGGAAGCCAGAGAUUAGGGAAGGGCCAGGCUAGCUCUCUUACAAAGACUUAUUUUCAUGGGAACCAGCUUGCUCUGUGAGAUCAGGAACCAUGUCUUCCACCAGCAACUCCCUCAAUGUCCUAAUUUCUCCCACUCAACCCUUUCCUAGCUCUCCAGCCUCGGUGAAAGCUGCACAAUUCUAACAUCAUGAAGUUGACUGUGCUGCCAAAAAUUUUGCCUUCCAGAGAUGCACACAAGGAGAACGCUGUGUUCAGAUAAAGACCAAGAUCUGCCAAGACUUCUUCAAAGCAAGGAUGUCACGAAACAUUGUCAGCAACCACCAGAAGCUAGGAGGCAGGACAAAGAUCUUCCCUUACCACCCUCAGGAGGAACUAGCCCUGCCAAUGCCCCACUUCAGGCUUCUGGCUUCCAGACUGUGAGAC
rnacentral:lncRNA from 1 species